rnacentral:lncRNA from 1 species
AUUAAAAAUGUGAAUUAUGAGAAUCUGCAGCUCUCGUCUCAUCUUUGAGAAAAAUCUUUUGUAAGGACUGGUGUAAGUGUGCCAACGGUUGCCCAUUACAGAUGCAGAUAUGCCAAUGAAGUCUUCCAGUGUAAAGGAGUGCUAUUGAGAGAGAUACCACCAUGGAACACCUCCUUUUAUUAUCACUGAAAAAACAAGUCAAACCUGGAGCUCACUGAUGAUGUAUCAUCACUGUAGAACAGCAAGGAGUUUCCCAAAGGGAUAUGACAGAUCUAGCAGAGGAGACAAGCAGAAGACUUAGAGGACUUUGCACUUGACUUGGACACUACUAUUUAAAGCACUGAUGGGAUAUGACAUGGGUGUGCAAACCAUGCAAAUGAAAAUUUAAUGGUCCUCAGCCUUUCAAAAUACGAGUUACAUUGUGCAUAUCAGAGCAAUAACCUUUUCAGCUUUUCUAGUACUAUGAAAACUGGACUAAGUGUUUGUAGAUCUGGUCUAAGGAAUUGUCAGGGUUGACCUAGUUGAAUUCCAUUGAAUUGAGAGGCAUCAAGGCAGUGCUAAUACUUAGCAAAAUCCCUACCUCUGUCUUGUUCUGCUUCUCAGGAGCCCUUAGAGUCCUGCAUCUUCUGCCUGCCUCUGCCGAGCAACUCUUCUAUGUUUAUUAAAUUUUCUUUUAUAUUAAUUUGAUGGUUUUGAGAGAAAUAAAGAAGCCUUUGUUCAGAAGAUGAAUUUGUCAUAAAAGAGAGUUAAAAAAAAAGUUCAAAAGUUAGAUUUCGCAUCAGUGAUAGAAAUUAGGAAAACAUAAAGCUGAGGUUUUGUGUUCUUUAUUCAUUAAUUUUAAGAGUACUGUAGAAAUCCUGAUGAAGUUGUUAAUGGCCCUUGUUGCUGCCUAACAGACUUCCAGAAAACUUGGGAAUACUGUGAAAUCUUCAAGUAUGAUAAUUAUGUCAGUACCACAGAUUUAUAUAACUCUUUGUAGCCAGACAGCUAAAAACAGGUUGGAUCAGAAGCGACUUUUCUUCACCAAGGCCUGAAAAACUCUAAGUAUGGGUAUUCCACAGCUUCUCUGGGACUUUGCUUCCAUGCUGCAGCACCCUUCUCAUUAAUUUUUUUCCUGGUCUGCAAAUCAAACUAUCAAACCAAGCAUGUGAUUAUUUCUCCUUGUUAUCUUGUCAGGUACU